CAGCCAUCGGAGGAUGCUCCGGAGGAUCCUCAGCCGUUGGUAAAUGGGACGGUCUAGCCUUUGGAGCACUUCCUGGUUGCGACACGACGUCAUCACGUCUACCCCAAGCCCGGCGAAAACAGCACCAGCGCCGAUAAACGACGCAAAAAAAUGGAUAUUGAAUUAUUUUUUAUUUAUUUACUUGUUAUUGGUGGAGGAGAGUCGGUUUAGCCGGCUUCGGCGGCAGUAAAACCGGCGACAAAUUUUUCUCAGGCUGGAGGAGCGCAGUGGAGAGACAAGGCCGAUGUACCGCUGCAUCAACUUAAAUGCACAACAUCUGCCUGGGAGCCGGUGAUCAUGGCCCCAGACGAUGAAGUGCAGGACGACAAGCCAGAGGAUGAGGAGGGGGAGAACGUGUUGGAGGCAGUCGGUGGUGCUCCCUGGCGGGACCAGCUGUCUGCCGAGGUGUCUGCCCUGGAGGAGGUUCUACCCGACCACGAUUACAUUUAGAUGGCAAGUAUAAUCACUUUUUAGCUUUUCUCAUGUAAGGGUUAUGAAAACAGUUGUAGUAAAGUCAUUUUCUGCGUCGUCUUAAACAUUUUUAGGAACAUGGCAGCCGUCGAUUGGGUCAGCCCUGCAAACCCUGAUGGACGAUGUGGUGAACAGUGGAGAGAGGCAUCCCCCACCCC